CCGCCCGUAGCUCAAUGGUAGAGCAGCGGCCUUUUAAGCCGAGGGUUCCAGGUUCGAGCCCUGGCGGGCGGA
rfam:Parcubacteria bacterium GW2011_GWA2_46_10 TX29_C0001, whole genome shotgun sequence.